rnacentral:rRNA from 1 species
UACGGAGGGGGCUAGCGUUGCUCGGAAUUACUGGGCGUAAAGGGCGCGUAGGCGGACAUUUAAGUCAGGGGUGAAAUCCCAGAGCUCAACUCUGGAACUGCCUUUGAUACUGGGUGUCUUGAGUGUGAGAGAGGUAUGUGGAACUCCGAGUGUAGAGGUGAAAUUCGUAGAUAUUCGGAAGAACACCAGUGGCGAAGGCGACAUACUGGCUCAUUACUGACGCUGAGGCGCGAAAGCGUGGGGAGCAAACAGG